GUGUGUUCUCCAAAGCACCGUAUGUCACUGACUGAACUUCAGUCCACAUUUUGGACAAGAGUGUGGGGUUUUUGUGGCAUAAAAAGAAGUGAGGAGAUAUAUAGCUGAACUCUGUGAUUUUGACUCGAGGUGACAGCUGAAAAGCACCAGAAACCCUUGGAAUUUCAGAUCUAUAUAUUACUAUAAAGGAAGAAAAUAAAGUUCCACUAGGAGAAGGCAGGGAAUUGCGUUUACCAAAUAUACAUAGUUUAAAAAACACAACCUCUGAAACAUUUACCUUAAAAAAAGUCAAGAGAGCAGAAGUUUUCUUUUGUAUCUGUAGAGCAAACAUCCCUGGGAUUUGUAAUAAAAACCCAGUUAUGAGAUCCGGGGUCCCUCCUGUUAACAAGGAUCUCUUAGCAGAUAUUGAAAUAUUGCCACGUUGGAGAGAAGUUAUUUAAGGACCCUCCAGGAGCUGAUGCAAAGGCAGAUUCUGCUGAGACUGUUUUCCUCUCUGCAAACCUUUGAAGGAAGCGUGUCCUGAACAUAUUCCACUUUAGAGAGAUGCAACAAAUAACAAGCUACAACCAAAGCCAGCCCAGCUUCAUGAUGAAUUUCAAGGAGCGUGACCAAUAAUCCUUCUACUUAUCUUAAAAAUCCUGUGGAAGUAGUAAACCAUUUCCAACACAACUGAAAGCAAAAUGUGGGGGGAAAAUAAGAAAGAAAAAUCACAAAACAAGCCAUCUGUCAGUGAGCAACCCAAGAAUCCUGAGUCCACUCAAGUAGUUAGUGCAUGUUUUUCUGUCCUGCUAAUGGAUUGCAUAUUGUUGAAAAUAUGAAUUACAGAAUAAAUCAGAAGAAAGUA